UAAGCUCAAUUAACUGUUUGCAG
rnacentral:miRNA from 5 species